rnacentral:rRNA from 1 species
CAGCAGCCGCGGGAAUACGAAGGGUGCGAGCGUUAAUCGGAAUUACUGGGCGUAAAGCGUGCGUAGGCGGUGGGUUAAGUCUGCUGUGAAAUCCCCGGGCUCAACCUGGGAAUGGCAGUGGAUACUGGCUCGCUAGAGUGUGUCAGAGGAUGGUGGAAUUCCCGGUGUAGCGGUGAAAUGCGUAGAGAUCGGGAGGAACAUCAGUGGCGAAGGCGGCCAUCUGGGACAACACUGACGCUGAGGCACGAAAGCGUGGGGAGCAAACAGGAUUAGAUACCCCAGUAGUCCCUGUCUCUUAUAC